GACGAACGCUGGCGGCGUGCUUAACACAUGCAAGUCGAGCGGAAAGGCCCUUCGGGGUACUCGAGCGGCGCACGGGUGAGUAACACGUGAGUAACCUGCCCCAGACUUUGGGAUAACCCUCGGAAACGGGGGCUAAUACCGGAUACGACACAGCUUCGCAUGGGGUCUGUGUGGAAAGUUUUUCGGUUUGGGAUGGGCUCGCGGCCUAUCAGCUUGUUGGUGGGGUGAUGGCCUACCAAGGCGACGACGGGUAGCCGGCCUGAGAGGGCGACCGGCCACACUGGGACUGAGACACGGCCCAGACUCCUACGGGAGGCAGCAGUGGGGAAUAGUGCACAAUGGGCGGAAGCCUGAUGCAGCGACGCCGCGUGAGGGAUGACGGCCUUCGGGUUGUAAACCUCUUUCAGCAGGGACGAAGCGUAAGUGACGGUACCUGCAGAAGAAGCGCCGGCCAACUACGUG
rnacentral:rRNA from 1 species